UUGACCUCAAAUCAGGUAGGACUACCCGCUGAACUUAAGCAUAUCAAUAAGCGGAGGAAAAGAAACUAACAAGGAUUCCCCUAGUAACUGCGAGUGAAGCGGGAAAAGCUCAAAUUUGAAAUCUGAYGGUUCUUGACUGUCCGAGUUGUAAUCUAGAGAAGUGUUACCUGUGCUGGACCGUGUUCAAGUCUCCUGGAAUGGAGCAUCAUAGAGGGUGAGAAUCCCGUCUUUGACAUGGACUGCCUGUACGUYGUGGUGCGCUCUCAAAGAGUCGAGUUGUUUGGGAAUGCAGCUCAAAAUGGGUGGUAAAUGCCAUCUAAAGCUAAAUAUUGGCGAGAGACCGAUAGCGAACAAGUACCGUGAGGGAAAGAUGAAAAGAACUUUGGAAAGAGAGUUAAACAGUACGUGAAAUUGCUGAAAGGGAAACGCUUGAAGUCAGUCGUGUCGGCCAGAAAUCAGCCUUGCUUUUGCCUGGUGUACUUUCUGGUUCGGUGGGUCAGCAUCAAUUUUGGCCAUCGGACAAAGUCUUUGGGAAUGUGGCAUCCUUGGAUGUGUUAUAGCCCAUUGUCGCAUACGGUGGUUGGGAUUGAGGAAUUCAGCACGCCUCGCAAGGGGCCGGGUAUUUUUACCACGUUCGUGCUUAGGAUGCUGGCAUAAUGGCUUUAAUCGACCCGUC
rnacentral:rRNA from 1 species